GAUGAGCCGAUGCCGGAUUAGCUAGUUGGUAGGGUAAAGGCCUACCAAGGCGACGAUCCGUAGCUGGUCUGAAGGAUGAUCAGCCACACUGGACUGAGACACGGUCCAGACUCCUACGGGAGGCAGCAGUGGGGAAUAUUGGACAAUGGGCGCAAGCCUGAUCCAGCCAUGCCGCGUGUGUGAAGAAGGCCUUCGGGUUGUAAAGCACUUUUGUUGGGGACGGUACCCAAAGAAUAAGCACCGCUAACUUCGUGCCAGCAGCCGCGGUAAUACGAAGUGCAAGCGUUACUCGGAAUUACUGGGCGUAAGCGUGCGUAGCGGUUUGUUAAGUCUGCUGUGAAGCCCCGGGCUCAACCUGGGAACGCAGUGGAUACUGGCAGCUAGAGUGUGUCAGAGGAGGUGGAAUCCCGGUGUAGCGUGAAAUGCGUAGAGAUCUGAAGGAACACCAGUGGAUCACAGUGAAUUCGC
rnacentral:rRNA from 1 species